GACUUUUUAGCUGAUGAAACGAUAUCAUAAUCUUUAUAAAUUGUAAAACCACAUUCUAUUUGUUAUAUGCAAAAGGCGAGAAAUAUGGCUAAACUUGUCAAGCUUGUUUAUGUUAUAAUUGUGUUUUAUACCCUAUUUCUUGUUGCAACGGAAAUUGUUUCGGGUAUUCCUUGUAACGAUGAUGUUGAUUGUCCACAGACUCUGUGUGAACAGUUAAUUGCCGACUUCAAGUAUAUGAUAGAUUUUAAGUCGGAGUGUGUUUCCCGUAUGUGUGCAUGUACCGGAAGUCCCGUUUAAGCUGCACUGGUGGUUGGUUUUGGUUCAAAAUGGAACAAUGAAAAAUACCUUUAAUAUUGGGUUGCUUAUAUAUUUUCACCAUAGAUGUGGAAAUCAUAAUAGGCUAUUAAUAAAAUUAUAAAUUAUACAUGUGGCCUUUAAAUAUCUUUUCUACGUACCCUUGUUAUUAAUUAAUUACUAAAAUCAAAAGAAAUUUCCUUCUCAAUUACAUGUCGUUGAGUUUUCCACCUAGAUAUGUGUUGUAUUUUUUUAUCUUAUUAAAAUAACAUAAAAUCUUAUUUACUCUCAA